CUCAGUUAGUUGAUAGAUCAAAAUUUAAAUAAGCUCAACAAAGUUUAUGGUUGUUUUUGUUUGUUUGGUGCUAAAGUGGAAGGGGAAAGAGUGAGAACUGAAAUGAACCCUUAAUUUUUUACCUUGCUCCCAUCUUGUCACCAUCAAUUCAAACAAGUAUAUACUUCUUUCAAUAUCAGAUGUUAUUUAACCAUUACACUCAACCUCUAUAAUAUCAAUGUUAAGCAAGUGAAUAGUGUGAGUUAUAAGAAUACCAUCGAAUUGUUAUUAUAUAUGUGUGAUUUAAAUGUAAUCGAACUUGUUUUUUACCUUUUGUGCUAUAACUUGUUUGUAUUACUGUUUGUUUGUGCUUUUCCUUGUUUGUGAAAUACUUGUUUGUGCUAUAACAUGUAUGCAUUUGUGCCAUAUAUGAUACUAUUAAUUGCUUUUUACCUUAAUAAUAGAAAUCAAAAGACAAUGUAAAAUUCUAAGUAAGUCUAAAAGAUGAUAAAAGAAAGGAGCUGAUUAAUUUUAAUGUUAAACGUUCAAGCGUGUCCUUAAAUAUGUGUGCUUUUAAAACCCAUGUGCUCUGGAUAGGGCUACUUCUCAGUUAAUACCAAAUUCAUGAUUUAUAAAUGCUUGUGCUUGCCAUAAAUACACAUGCUAAUCCCAAUAGCAACUGCGUGUGUUAGCGUCUGGCGUACUAAAUUAUAAUCCUGGUACCUUUGAUAACUAUUAGCCAAGGAGUUUCGAUUCGAGUAUAUGGACUGUUUGGUUGAAC
rnacentral:lncRNA from 1 species